AGAGUUUGAUCCUGGCUCAGAAUGAACGCUGGCGGCGUGCCUAACACAUGCAAGUCGGAUGUGCGCAAGGUGCAUGGCAGACGGGUGAGUAACGCGUGGGGAAUCUACCUUUUAGUGGGGAAUAACGCUCCGAAAGGAGUGGUAAUACCGCAUGAGACCGAUCACUGGGAUGUGGUUGGUGAAACCUGGGGACCGCAAGG
rnacentral:rRNA from 1 species